CCUACGGGAUGCAGCAGUGGGGAAUAUUGGGCAAUGGGCGCAAGCCUGACCCAGCAACGCCGCGUGAAGGAAGAAGGCUUUCGGGUUGUAAACUUCUUUUGUCAGGGAAGAGUAGAAGACGGUACCUGACGAAUAAGCCACGACUAACUACGUGCCAGCAGCAGCGGUAAUACGUAGGUGGCAAGCGUUGUCCGGAUUUACUGGGUGUAAAGGGCGUGUAGCCGGGUUGACAAGUCAGAUGUGAAAUCCUGCGGCUUAACCGCAGAACUGCAUUUGAAACUGUUGAUCUUGAGUACUGGAGAGGCAGACGGAAUUCCGAGUGUAGCGGUGAAAUGCGUAGAUAUUAGGAGGAACACCAGUGGCGAAGGCGGUCUGCUGGACAGCAACUGACGGUGAGGCGCGAAAGCGUGGGGAGCAAACAGGAUUAGAUACCCUUGUAGUC
rnacentral:rRNA from 1 species